GACAGAGGGUGCAAACGUUGUUCGGAAUUACUGGGCGUAAAGCGCGUGUAGGCUGCUCUGCAAGUCGGGUGUGAAAGCCCUGGGCUCAACCUAGGAAGUGCACUCGAAACUGCGGAGCUGGAGUUCUGGAGAGGAAGGCGGAAUUCUCGGUGUAGAGGUGAAAUUCGUAGAUAUCGAGAGGAACACCGGUGGCGAAGGCGGCCUUCUGGACAGUGACUGACGCUGAGACGCGAAAGCGUGGGGAGCAAACAGG
rnacentral:rRNA from 1 species